rnacentral:rRNA from 1 species
GAUGAACGCUAGCUACAGGCUUAACACAUGCAAGUCGCGGGGCAGCAUGGGGGUUGCUUGCAAUCCCCGAUGGCGACCGGCGCACGGGUGAGUAACGCGUAUCCAACCUGCCCUUCACCACGGGAUAACCCGGCGAAAGUCGGACUAAUACCGUAUGUUGUCCAUUGACGGCAUCCGAUUUGGACGAAAGGCUUGGCGGUGAGGGAUGGGGAUGCGUCCGAUUAGCCAGACGGCGGGGUAACGGCCCACCGUGGCUACGAUCGGUAGGGGUUCUGAGAGGAAGGUCCCCCACACUGGAACUGAGACACGGUCCAGACUCCUACGGGAGGCAGCAGCGAGGAAUAUUGGUCAAUGGGCGUAAGCCUGAACCAGCCAAGUAGCGUGCAGGAUGACGGCCCUAUGGGUUGUAAACUGCUUUUAUGCGGGGAUAAAGUGGCCCACGUGUGGGCUUUUGCAGGUACCGCAUGAAUAAGGACCGGCUAAUUCCGUG